UCCGGAGGGUGCAAUCGUUGUUCGGAAUUACUGGGCGUAAAGCGCGUGUAGGCGGGUCGGUAAGUCGGUUGUGAAAGCCCCGAGCUCAACUCGGGAAUUGCGUUCGAAACUGCCGGGCUGGAGUCCCGGAGAGGGAGGCGGAAUUCCCAAUGUAGGGGUGAAAUCCGUAGAUAUUGGGAGGAAUACCGGCUGCGAAGGCGGCCUUCUGGACGGUGACUGACGCUGAGACGCGAAAGCGUGGGGAGCAAACAGG
rnacentral:rRNA from 1 species